rnacentral:rRNA from 1 species
ACCGUGGUAAUUCUAGAGCUAAUACAUGCUAAAAAUCCCGACUUACGGAGGGAUGUAUUUAUUAGAUUAAAAACCAAUGCCCUUCGGGGCUCUCUGGUGAUUCAUAAUAACUUCUCGAAUCGCAUGGCCUUGAGCUGGCGAUGGUUCAUUCAAAUUUCUGCCCUAUCAACUUUCGAUGGCAGGGUCUUGGCCUGCCAUGGUUACAACGGGUAACGGAGGGUUAGGGCUCGACCCCGGAGAAGGAGCCUGAGAAACGGCUACUACAUCCAAGGAAGGCAGCAGGCGCGCAAAUUACCCAAUUCCGAUACGGAGAGGUAGUGACGAUAAAUACUGAUACAGGGCUCUUUUGGGUCUUGUAAUUGGAAUGAGUACAAUUUAAAUCCCUUAACGAGGAACAAUUGGAGGGCAAGUCUGGUGCCAGCAGCCGCGGUAAUUCCAGCUCCAAUAGCGUAUAUUAAAGUUGUUGCAGUUAAAAAGCUCGUAGUUGAACCUUGGGCCUGGCUGGCUGGUCCGCCUCACCGCGUGUACUGGUUCGGCCGGGCCUUUCCCUCUGGGGAACCUCAUGCCCUUCACUGGGUGUGCUGGGGAACCAGGACUUUUACUGUGAAAAAAUUAGAGUGUUCAAAGCAGGCCUAUGCUCGAAUACAUCAGCAUGGAAUAAUAGAAUAGGACGUGCGGUUCUAUUUUGUUGGUUUCUAGGACCGCCGUAAUGAUUAAUAGGGACAGUCGGGGGCAUCAGUAUUCAAUUGUCAGAGGUGAAAUUCUUGGAUUUAUUGAAGACUAACUACUGCGAAAGCAUUUGCCAAGGAUGUUUUCAUUAAUCAGGAACGAAAGUUAGGGGAUCGAAGACGAUUAAUCUGGUCGUCAACAGUUAGGCGAUGGCCUAGCUAGUCCGCUGUAGCUGGGGUACAGCGGGCGACACCGUCAAAUUGCGGGGACCUCCUUAGAGCCCCUACCACACCCUGCCGCUAGAAAUAGCGGUAGGUCGUAACAGUGUAGGGGAUUGGACCAUCCGCAGCCAAGCCCGAGAAGCCUACCCGGUAGCUACCCUAUAGCGGGGUAGCUACCCCGCAGGCGGGGGUGCAGUUCACAGACUAAACGUCGGUGGGAACCCCUGAGUUCUUAAGAUAUAGUCGACCCGCGCCUGAAAAGGUGACGAUUGGCGCUGAAGUACAGUGCUGUAAAACGCAGAUACCGUCGUAGUCUUAACCAUAAACUAUGCCGACUAGGGAUCGGACGAUGUUAUUUUUUGACUCGUUCGGCACCUUACGAGAAAUCAAAGUUUUUGGGUUCUGGGGGGAGUAUGGUCGCAAGGCUGAAACUUAAAGAAAUUGACGGAAGGGCACCACCAGGGGUGGAGCCUGCGGCUUAAUUUGACUCAACACGGGGAAACUCACCAGGUUAACUACAGAUGGUUACACGUCUGGGCCUGGAAUAGUAGGCAUUAGUCUGCUAGUACUGGAAUUCAUCUGCGUGGGGAAGCCCCCGAUUCGGGCGCAGAACAGCUAUAAUUACAGCUGUUUUCCAGUGCGACACCCGCUGGUACAGGGGACGUUUCAGGUCUUUAGGGACCUAAGCCAAUCCUGUGGCGAGUUCAGGUUGCGCUGAACCGUUGCAACGCGCGCUAAGCGGUGGGCCUUUAGGGGCUUAAGGUACGUGCUGAUCCUGCAGGAAACUGCAGCUUACUUGACUAGGUCCGAGUAUCCAAAGCAAGUAAGGCGGGGUGCUGAAAAGUGCCCUGUGUAAAUGCCAGACACAAUGAGGAUUGACAGAUUGAGAGCUCUUUCUUGAUUUUGUGGGUGGUGGUGCAUGGCCGUUCUUAGUUGGUGGAGUGAUUUGUCUGCUUAAUUGCGAUAACGAACGAGACCUUAACCUGCUAAAUAGCCCGUAUUGCUUUGGCAGUACGCUGGCUUCUUAGAGGGACUAUCCGCUCAAGCGGAUGGAAGUUUGAGGCAAUAACAGGUUAACCUUCACAGGCCUGUAAUAGUAAGCCUCGGUAAAUAAUUUGCUAGUCUAUACCUUUAUCUCUUUGGGGGAAGUCCCCUAUUAUCGGGAAGAGAAGCAACUGUACAGUUGCUUGGUAUAGGCGACACCACCUGGUACAGGGAACGCUACGGGCAGUAGAAUGCCUAAGCCGAUCCUGUGGCGAGCCUAGGUUACGCUAGGCCGUCGCAACGCGCGGUAAGGGGUGGGCUGAAUAGCGAUAUUCAGCUUAAGGUACGUGCUAAACCCUCGGGAAACCGAGCUUCCAUAACUAGGCCCGAUAAGCCGAAGUAUAGGGGGGCCGAGAGGCUGGAAAAAAGGUUCUACAGCGAUCCGUAGGGGGCAUUGUCCCCCGCGGGGAGUGGUAACCUUUUCUGCUGUGAUGCCCUUAGAUGUUCUGGGCCGCACGCGCGUUACACUGACAGAGCCAGCGAGUACUUCCUUGGUAGAAAUACCCGGGUAAUCUUGUUAAACUCUGUCGUGCUGGGGAUAGAGCAUUGCAAUUAUUGCUCUUCAACGAGGAAUCCCUAGUAAGCGCAAGUCAUCAACUUGCGUUGAUUACGUCCCUGCCCUUUGUACACACCGCCCGUCGCUACUACCGAUUGAAUGGCUCAGUGAGGCUUUCGGACUGGCCUAGGGGAGUCGGCAA